UACGAAGGGGACAAGCGUUGUUCGGAAUUAUUGGGCGUAAAGGGCGCGUAGGCGGACUUGUAAGUCGAUUGUGAAAUCCCUGGGCUUAACCCGGGAACUGCAGUCGAAACUGCAAGUCUUGAAUGCUCGAGAGGAUGGUAGAAUUCCUGGUGUAGAGGUGAAAUUCGUAGAUAUCAGGAGGAAUACCGGAGGCGAAAGCGGCCAUCUGGCGAGACAUUGACGCUGAGGCGCGAAAGCGUGGGGAUCAAACAGG
rnacentral:rRNA from 1 species